rnacentral:lncRNA from 1 species
UACUGAGAGUACGCACAGAAGCUUUCCCUGCUGAUGCCUGCUCAAAUUAUGGGUCCAUCCAAUUGUGUGUUCACAGCUUUAGGAAAAGAAGGAGCUGCUUCCUGUCCUUUACAUCCAACAGCGUGGGAGACGUUCUCAUUUCAGCCUUUUGAGGCACGGAGGACCCAAACAACCCAUAUUACUUUGAUUUGAUGACGACUGGACUUCAACUUUUAAAAGCAACAAGGUUCACUACGCUAUCACGGCUGGCCUGAGAUUGACUUAGUAGACAAGACUGGCCGUGAAGUCACAGAUUUGUUUGCCUCUGUUUUACAGGUCUUUGGAACAAAGGGCUGGGGAUGAACCCAGGGCCUCUCAGAUGCUAGACAUGUGCUCCACUCCUGAGAUGCACUCCCUACCCCCUCAAUGGAGCAUCAGAGGUAGUGCUCCAUAUCUGUGGUUGUGGCUGGCUGUGGCUCAGUGAGUGAUGAGACUCCAUGUGUGCACUUCCAAACUCAGGGGCAACACUGUUCAUGUCUCCACUUAUGGAUGGGGACCCUGACAAUUCACCGUGAUCAAGAACAAUGAUGAUGGGCCAGAAAUGGUAGCCCAUGCCUUUGGGAGACAGAGGCAGCCAGAAGUUUGUGAAUUCAAGGCCACCCUGGUCUACAUACCACAUUCCAGAGCAGUCAGGGCUACACAGUCAGACCUUGCCUCAAAACAAAGAAGUGAAGAACAAGAACGUGAAUUUCUGGAGAUGCUCUAAGUUUUAGAAUGCUUACCUAUUGUACUUGAUGUUCUGGGUUCAAGUCUUAGCACUGAAUAAACCAGUUGUAUCAAC